GUGUGCAGCCUAGUGUGUUAGUGUGCAGCCUAGUGUGUUAGUGUGCAGCUUAGUGUGUUAGUAUGCAGCCUAGUGUGUUAGUGUGCAGCCUAGUUUGUUAGUGUGCAGCCUAGUGUUUUCGUUUGCAGCCUAGUGUUUUAGUGUGCAGCCUAGUGUGUUAGUGUGUUAGUGUGCAGCCUAGUGUGUUAGUGUGCAGCCUAGUGUGUUUGUGUGCAGCCUAGUGUGUUAGUGUGUUAGUGUGCAGCCUAGUGUGUUAGUGUGUUUGUGUGCAGCCUAGUGUGUUAGUGUGUUAGUGUGCAGCGUAGUGUCCUAGUGUGUUAGUGUGCAGCCUAGUGUGUUAGUGUGCAGCCUAGUGUGUCAGUGUGCAGCCUAGUGUGUUAGUGUG
ensembl:lncRNA